GACGAACGCUGGCGGCGUGCUUAACACAUGCAAGUCGAGCGGAGCGGCGAACGGGAGAGUAACGCGUGAGUAACUGCCCCCCUCUCUGGGAUCACAGUUGGAAAGGGCUGCUAAUACCGGAUAGUGGGGGAUGACUCGGGUCCUAUCAGCUUGUCGGUGGGGGAGUGGCCUACCAAGGGGACGAAGGGUAGCCGGCCUGGGCGGGCGACCGGCCACAAUGGGCUGAGAUAGGGCCCAAAAUCCUACGGGAGGCAGCAGUGGAGAAUAUUGCCCAAUGGGGGAAACCCUGAUGCAGCAGCGCCGCGUGCGGGAUGACGGCCUGCGGGUUGUAAACCGCGUUCAGCCAUGACGCGGUAGUGGCAGAAGAAGCACCGGCUAACUACGUGCCAGCAGCCGCGGUAAUAC
rnacentral:rRNA from 1 species